rnacentral:misc_RNA from 1 species
UGCAUCGAACUGCUUUCCUCACUUUCGAUCAAUUGUCGCUCCACGAGCAAACGUUGGAUGCGAAUCGCGGGUUCCUGUGCUGCAUACCUACUGCGACGGAAAUGUGUGCCUUCGGUUGUCCCUUCCAUCACAGCGUCCUCUUGGAUGCUCGAUUGGACCGGAUGGUGGGGCUCGUGUUCCACGAACAUCGUCUCAUUCGAUCGUUCGGAUGGACCGCGAGCGWCCGCCYGUUCUCUCGGAUGCGGAACUUUCUUCUUGGGCAUGGGGUCAUUGGCCCUGGUUCCCAAAUCGUUAAGCGUUUACCGCUUCACCGGAAUGACGCUCUCGCCUCGUCUUUGACCGUCGCGAAGCUCUCGGGCUUCUCGCGACGGAUCAUGCCGGGCGGACGUCGUGAAGGAAUGC